UUCUGAUUGGCUGGAUGCCUUCAUGAGAGACAACUCCAUUUAUUGGGAGAUCACUUCUGCCUUCUGCUAGCUACACAAAGAUCAGAAGGAAACAAAUACAUACAUCUGUUGAAACUUCCACAAUGUGCAUUUCUUUUCCAACAUCAACAGGAGUUUAACGAAUCAAAGAACGCUGCAUUGCCAGUUUUCUACAGAAACAAAGAUUUUCAACAGUGAUUUUAGUAAAAAAGCAGGGAAAAAAAAGAACCUGCAUGGAUGCCAAAAAGGUACUGUUCAUGACUGACAAUAACCUUCAUAAGACAGUGAUGGUUAAAAAAAACUUGAUGUUCUGAUCUUUGAUUCUGCGAAGUAAAUGAAAAAAGACGCCAACGAAGCAGGGUUCCGUCCGCUGAGCAAGUUAACAAAUGGCUGAGUUUCCAGUAGUUGGUGCGUGAAGAAAAAGGAGUUUUGCAAGGGGAAAAAACUGCAAGACAAAGAUGAAUGCUACAAUCGUGCAGUCUGAUUUCGACAGCUAAAACGUCUUGGGUUUCUUGUAAAAUAGUAUCUACGAUCGUGUUGAUCUGGCUUGGUAUGUUUGGCUAUAGUCAUUCUCAAGCAGUCAAGACGAAAUAGAUCUGUUACCAUUUAAUAAAACAACAUUUUUAAAAAGUGUGGUCACGAAAAGCAGUUCUCAUAUUAUUUAAUUUCAAGAUUUUCAUUGGAAUUUCUACAAAUCACUGCUGGCUGUGAACUUAAUCUACCAGUGUGCCCUGCCAUGGUCUACCAACCAUCUGCAGAAACAAUUUGUUGUGGAAUUUGAUGGGAGGGAAGCAGUGAUGUGCAAGAACCAGAAACUGAUGACGUGAUGUUUUAUGCAAAAAUUAAUUUGCAAGAUUUGUGGAAAUUGACCUGCAUAUCAGAAGAAUGUUGGCAACUGGGAACUGUUUCUGUGUAUACCUCAAGAUGGAUUCUAGGAAAUACAUAAUACAUACCUUGUGUGUGUGAAGUGAAGGGGGAGAAGAUGUCAUGAAUUGGCUGUCUGUUCACUUUCUGUCAUGGCAUAACAGCUUUUACAGUGUUUUGGUGAGGCACUGGCAUGAUGUGUCCACACAUCUGCAUCUACACGCCAGUCAUGAAAGGCUACACCACAGGCAUAACAAGUCACCUUGUCCAGGAAUUGAAAAAAAAUUGACCCUUAUGAACAGCAGUUCUAACACACUAAACGAAGAUAGGAAAAGAAUAUCAGCGUGUAUAUCUGCAGGAAGUACUUCGUCCUGAUAGUUUUUUCAUCCUCUCGGCUGAUAUUUCCAACAUCAUACAAGAGUACAAAGGCACAAUUUCGUGACACAUUCUGGCGACAGCUGGCUAAAUGCAUCUCAUAGCCACCACAUUUGGGUCUGAUCGGAUGUUUGAUCGUGUUCCGAACAGCAAUGGCACUGGUAAAGUCACUCUUUGGCGAUGCCUGGAACAGCCUUCGCCUCACAUCCCUACCUAC